rnacentral:rRNA from 1 species
GAAACCCGUCCGCCGGAUGAUCAAGGGUUCCAGGGUCAAGCUAAUCUGCCCUGGGUGAGUCGGGACCUAAGGCGAGGCCGACAGGCGUAGUCGAUGGAUAACCAGUUGAUAUUCUGGUACCCGUUUUAUCGCGCCCAUGGUAAAGCAUUGAUACUAACCACCCACAAGGCUGGACUUAAGCACCUUCGGGUGUGUGUUUGGUUGCGUGCGUGGGGCCUGAUAUGUGGUCCAAGCGAUGGGGUGACACAGUGGGGUAGCUAUGCCGCUUAGUGGAUUGUUGGUGUAAGCGUGUGAGGUGGUGUGUAGGUAAAUCCGCACACCGUAUAGCCUGAGGCGU